rnacentral:lncRNA from 1 species
CUUUUUCUUCUUAUCCUUACCACGACUUUCUUUCCAUCUGCUUGAAUGACAAAUCGGACAUGCUUGUAGAUCUUUUUUAUCCUUCCGAAACAGAAUACAAUCAUUCGGACAUGCAUGUAUCUUUUCACAGCGUAGGCCCAAGUCAUCGACUCCCAAACCGAGUCCUUUCAAUAAUUUUUUGGCUUCAUAAUGACUUGACGGAAG